GACGAACGCUGGCGGCGUGCUUAACACAUGCAAGUCGAACGGAAAGACCCUGCUUUUGCGGGGUUCUCGAGUGGCGAACGGGGGAGUAACACGUGAGUAACCUGCCCUUGACUUUGGGAUAACUUCAGGAAACUGGGGCUAAUAUCGGAUAGGAGCUCUUGCUGCAUGGGGGGGGUUGGAAAGUGUCGGCGGUGGGGGCUGGUCUCGCGGGUUAUGAGCUUCUUUGUGGAGUAGUGGCUUACCAAGGCUUUGACGGGUAGCCGGCCUGAGCGGGUAGACAGGCUCCUUGGUCCUGCGGUACGCACCAGACUGCUACGGGACGCAGUAGUGGAGAAUCUUACGGAAUGGGCGCGCGCCUGAUACGAAGGCGCUGCGUGCGUGAUACUCGCCUUCGGGUUAUAAACAGCUUUCGAAUGUGACGAAGCGUGAGUGACGGUAACGGGUAAAGAAGCCCCGGCUAACUACGUG
rnacentral:rRNA from 1 species